GUGCCAGCCGCCGCGGUAAUACCGGCAGCCCGAGUGAUGGCCGAUCUUAUUGGGCCUAAAGCGUCCGUAGCUGGCUGCGCAAGUCCGUCGGGAAAUCCACCCGCCCAACGGGUGGGCGUCCGGUGGAAACUGCGUGGCUUGGGACCGGAAGGCUCGAGGGGUACGUCCGGGGUAGGAGUGAAAUCCCGUAAUCCCGAACGGACCACCGAUGGCGAAAGCACCUCGAGAAGACGGCUCCGACAGUGAGGGACGAAAGCCAGGGUCUCGAACCGGAUUAGAUACCCGGGUAAUC
rnacentral:rRNA from 1 species